rnacentral:rRNA from 1 species
UACGUAGGGGGCAAGCGUUGUCCGGAAUUAUUGGGCGUAAAGAGCGUGUAGGCGGUUGUCCAAGUUGGAUGUGAAAGCCUUGAGCUUAACUCAAGAAAUGCAUUCAGGACUGGAUGACUAGAGGACCGGAGAGGAUAGUGGAAUUCCCAGUGUAGUGGUGAAAUACGUAGAGAUUGGGAAGAACACCAGUGGCGAAGGCGGCUAUCUGGACGGUUUCUGACGCUAAGACGCGAAAGCGUGGGGAUCAAACAGG